UUCAACUCAUCCCCACACCACACGCCGCCCACCCCAGAUCCAUCCAUAGCAUAGCCGCUCAUCCCCGCGUCUCUCCUCCAUGGCUCGGCGGCCCGACGGCCCUGCCCCGCUCCCUCCAUGGCGCGGCGGCCCUGCUCAGCUCCCUUCAUCUCACAGCGCGGGGGAAGUUCGGCAGAUGCUAGGCGGCCGUACGCUCGUUCCGCAGGGGCGGUGGAGAUUGAGGGGUGGUGUUGCGCGCACCGUGCAGAGGAAAGGGGCUGCCGGCCGGCCGAUCGAUUUGUUUAGAUCUAAUUUGCUUCACAUCUUUUUUCUGGUGUGGAUUUGCUCAAACCGUUUGCGGGAAUCAGGUCCAUGUUCUUUUUGUCAGUUUCAAAGUUAUGCAGGGGCUGAUGGUUUGUUAGUUUAAAAGCAUGGAUCAAAAAAUGUUUUUGCUAGAUUUUGACUGAACCGGCAGGGCACCUUUUUAGUUAAGACUCUGAAUCUACCGUGUUUGCUGGGGCAAAUGCUUGCUUUUUUCUGUGGGCUGCCGCGCGUCGUGGAUUUUUUUUGGGAGCACGGUGCCGGAGAACGAACAAACGCCAGCUACGGCGCGCGUCGAGGACGGUGCCGGAGAAGGAACAACCGCCGGCGACCGCGCGCGUGGAGGACGGAGCAAUGGGCAACGACGGGGAGGACGAACCGACGGGGGACUGUCCUCCUGGAGCGCAGUUCCACCGGCCGGAGCCAUGGGCAACCUGUUGAUCGUUUGGCUGUUUGCUUUUUUAUUUUCGAUCUGAUCUGGUUCAUAUACUUUUAUUUCCGGUCUCGAUAUGCUUCACAGCUUUGAGGGAAUCAGGUCCAUGCAGAUUGUUUUGUACAUGAUGUGUACCCGAUUCAGAUCAAAUUUGGUCUUACAUUUUUAUUUCCCAUGCAUUCAGAGUGCAGAGAUGCGAGGGUGCGCAUCCCCUGCGCGCCGCUCGCCGGGGGCCUCCUCCGCGGCCGCUCCGUGGACUUCCCCGCCGCAUCACCCGAGCGCGUCCAGGACGGUGCCUGAGAAGGAUGGACCGCUGGCGGCCGCACGCGUCGACGAUGGUGUCGGAGAAGGAAGGACCGCCGGCGAUCGUGCGCGUCAGGCUCCGGAGAAGGAAGGACCGCCGGCGACUGCGCACAUCGAGGACGGGGAAGACGUCCACGACGAGGACAAGCCCCCAUUCUUCCUUUUAUUUCGUCGACCAAGAACGGCUCAAUGAUUUUUUUUCAUGUGAACGAGCACUCUGCGGUGGUAUACCGUGGGAUUCCUCUUCUUUUUCCCUUUAUUUGGAACUAGGACAAUACCCGUGCGUUGCUACGGAAAAAACACGCAUCACGUUUCUUACACAGUCAUGCCGUGGUUCACACA